rnacentral:rRNA from 1 species
UUAGGAAUUUUGCGCAAUGGGGGAAACCCUGACGCAGCAACGCCGCGUGUAGGAUGAAGGCCUUCGGGUUGUAAACUACUUUCGACGGGGAAAAACACAAUGAUGGUACCUAGAGAAGAAGCACCGGCUAACUACGUGCCAGCAGCCGCGGUAAUACGUAGGGUGCAAGCGUUACUCGGAUUUAUUGGGCGUAAAGCGCAUGUAGGCGGCUUUGUAAGUUUGAUGUGAAAUCCCUGGACUCAAUUCAGGAACUGCAUUGAAUACUGCAAGGCUAGAGUACGGGAGAGGUAGGUGGAAUUCCUGGUGUAGAGGUGAAAUUCGUAGAUAUCAGGAGGAACAACAGAGGCGAAGGCGACUUACUGGACCGUAACUGACGCUGAGAUGCGACAGUGUGGGGAGCAAACAGG